UAAGGAAUAUUGGUCAAUGGACGCAAGUCUGAACCAGCCAUGCCGCGUGAAGGAUGAAGGCCCUCUGGGUUGUAAACUUCUUUUAUCUGGGAAGAAACCACUUCUUUAUAGAGGUGUUGACGGUACCAGAGGAAUAAGCACCGGCUAACUCCGUGCCAGCAGCCGCGGUAAUACGGAGGGUGCAAGCGUUAUCCGGAUUCACUGGGUUUAAAGGGUGCGUAGGUGGGUCUGUAAGUCAGUGGUGAAAUCUCCGUGCUUAACAUGGAAACUGCCAUUGAUACUAUAGGUCUUGAAUUUUCUGGAGGUAAGCGGAAUAUGUCAUGUAGCGGUGAAAUGCUUAGAUAUGACAUAGAACACCAAUUGCGAAGGCAGCUUGCUACAGGGAUAUUGACACUGAGGCACGAAAGCGUGGGGAUCAAACAG
rnacentral:rRNA from 1 species